CGGGACACGAAGGUUGGGACUACGAUAUUUUCGGUCGCUCUCACCCUAACUUUUCGAACUCUCAGUGUUCGGAAGAUUUUAUUCUUGAGAUCUGGAAAUUAUGUGGAUAGAUUGCGAGGAUGGCUGAGAUCGAGAGUCAACGGGUCAAGCUUCGUCAAGAGAGGAGGAAGGGAUACUCUAACGCAGCUCUCUUCUCCCAUCAAGUAGUGAGUGAACAUUCAAAAUUUUUAUUACGUAGAAAUUGUAGAACAUUUUGACGAGUACAAUGAUCAAAGGAUUGCCCGACAAUCCUUUGAGUGGUAAUCUGUUUCCUAGUUAGACAGGGUCUUUCUGCACAUCGCGAUUUCCUGCGAUAGUUUCAAGUUACAAUAAUUUUAUUUCGAAGCUACCGAAAAAUUAAUCUUUUACAUCACGUGAUUAUCAUAACACGGAUGUUACAAAAAUUAUAUU